CUGCUCCGAAAAUAUAGAGUUAUAGAAGUGAGUCGAGCUGGUCUCAGAAGUAUAAUUUCGAUACCCCGGAAGCAUAGCGGAGAGGUGAAGAUGGACACAAUGGCCGUGGUAAUGGACACUUCCGGGAUAAUGGAGAUCGAAGAAGGAGCUGUUGAAACGAUGGAAGUGGGAAAUACCGAAGAAGACGAGGAAGUGAGCCAAGCGGAAGAAGCCCUACUCGACUCUGCCGCUAACGAGGCCACCCUCGAAGGCUCCUCGAGAAGAAGCUCGAGGGCUCAACCAUGUGAAUACUGCAACGCAAACUUGGCGAAUCGGCAGACGUAUUUCAAGCAUUUAGGGCGUAAACAUCCCGAGCACCAGAUGAAUGUAAUCUGCAUGCCCCAGAAAAAGACAUAUGCCUGCAAUGAGAAUGGCACGUGCAAAAUGAAACUCAAAACCCGAGAGGAGCUCCUUCACCACCUCGGAAAGGAUCACGACUGGGAGAUAAAGGAAGUUACGGGAACAUUCGAUUCGGAAGCCGACUUCGAAGUCUUCUUCCAAAUUGUCCAACGGCUGCAUAAAACGCGAUUCGUGUCGCGUCACGGGAAAGUCAACAACGUCAAGCGCUUCUACUGUAACCGUGAAGGCGCGAUUCGGCUGAAGUACGGGCCACGAUCCAGAAAGCAUAUCAAGAGGGGAAGUUCGAAGAUCGGAACUUUCUGCACGGCCCACGCUAUAGUCAGCUACCAUGCCAACGGUCAAGUUAGCAUAAUAGGCUCGAUAACUCAUUAUAAUCACGAGAUGGAAGGAAAAUACCUACCUCUGUUGGAUUGCGAGAGGGAUUUUAUCUGUUACCACUCCCAACUCGGCAUGAACUGCCGUGAAAUCCUCGAAGUGCUACACCAAACGGUCGGAGAACUGGAUAUGGAUGAUCCGCUCCGUUACGUUGACUACAAGACGAUUAGAAAUACACUCACAAGGAACAAAAGCGUCUCCGCAGCUAACAGGGAUCCGGUAGUGAUGUUACAGAAAGUCAGAGGGAAAUGUGAUAAACCUCAGAAAUCAACAGAGGAACGAUCUUCGACGACGUUCAGCGACAUCGUGCUCGAACAUACUAGUGCAGUGGAGAACACCUUCGAUAUCAAAAUGACGGAACCGAAUAAUUGGGGUGUCAAAAAACCUGACGGGAAAGUUCGCCAUCGAGUUGUUCGAGUGGCCGAUGUCUGUCCCAUCGAGGAAAAGUCCGGUACAUCGUGCGGGCAGUAUUGCAAAUUAUGUAAUUGCUGCAUUCAUAUCUACAAAUGCAACUGUGGAGGAGCCACGAAAAUAGGAAAAAUGUGCAAACACAUCCACGCCGUCGUUCUGUCCCAGAAUCGCGACGCCGCUUCACAACCGGUAAGACCAGAGCAAAACUCCUGAAUUCUGCUGGCAUCCGAGGAAUAUGUGGUUGCUCAGGAAGUUGAAGAAGAGACUUGUAUUCUGGACUCGUACAUCGAUCAACAAACAGAUACGACUCAAAAACCUAUCGAGACCGCCAUCACGGAAGCCGGUUUCCCGCUCCAAGUAACUCAACAGAUCGAAGAGAAUGGCGAGCGGAUCCUCAUCGUGCAGCAGCCCAUCACUGAAGUGGUCAAUGAGGACGGAGUACUGUUUCAAAGCUACGAAAUGAUUCAGGAGCAUGAACAGGUCCAUGCACGGGAGCCCGAACCCCGGAUAAACCCCGAGUUUCUAUCGUUUAUGGAUAGCGCGGCGAAUUAUGUCAAUUUGCUCCAUCAAGUCGCCUGUCCCGAAAAUAUACUCCAGUUGUCUCUCGUAUUCAGACAAUUGAAAGUGAUCCCUCGUGACGAAUGCACAGCCGCCGAGGAUAAUCAGGAGCUGAAUAAGGUCGUCCCGGAUUGA